rnacentral:rRNA from 1 species
UACGUAGGGUGCAAGCGUUGUCCGGAAUUAUUGGGCGUAAAGAGCUCGUAGGCGGUUUGUCGCGUCUGCUGUGAAAACCCGAGGCUCAACCUCGGGCCUGCAGUGGGUACGGGCAGACUAGAGUGCGGUAGGGGAGAUUGGAAUUCCUGGUGUAGCGGUGAAAUGCGCAGAUAUCAGGAGGAACACCGGUGGCGAAGGCGGGUCUCUGGGCAACAACUGACGCUGAGGAGCGAAAGCGUGGGGAGCGAACAGG